GCAAGUCGAACGCGAAAGUUUUUCUUCGGAGAAGCGAGUAGAGUGGCGCACGGGUGAGUAACGCGUAAGUAAUCUACCCUGGCAUCUGGGAUAACUCAGCGAAAGCUGUGCUAAUACCGGAUACGUUGAUUUAUCAAGAAAGGUGGCCUCUGAUUUAAGCUACCGUGCUGGGAGGAGCUUGCGUACCAUUAGCUAGUUGGUAGGUUAAAGGCCUACCAAGGCGACGAUGGUUAGCGGGUCUGAGAGGAUGAUC
rnacentral:rRNA from 1 species